rnacentral:rRNA from 1 species
AUGCUCAACGUCGGGGACGACACGGUGAUGUGUUGGUGUGCGAACAAGUACAUCACACACAACACACCAAUUUUGACCGCAGAGGCCUCAGAAACAGCGCAGUUGUCCUUGUUUAAAAGGUACGUACUGUUGUACUAUUUGCAAAUGGACCAUGAAACUAGUGCUAAACACAAAGCCCUGGAGGGCAUGCUACUUGAUGCACGUGCUGAGCCGACGGAUCUUCCUUUAUCUCUUCUGAGAGAAAUCACAAAUGGUUUCUCUGAUGAUCUGCAAAUCGGAAAUGGUGGAUUUGCCGUGGUUUAUAAGGGAAUGCUUGGGAAAGGGAUGGUAGCUGUGAAAAGGCUUUCCGAAAGAUUUGAUAUUAAAGAGAUAAAGUUUAACGAAGAGGUUAGCUGUCUGCUGAAUGUGAAGCACAAAAAUAUAGUUCGAUUUCUGGGCUAUUGUUCUGACACGCAAGGGAUAAUGAUGAACUACGAGGGAAAGAACGUUUUGGCAGAUGUUCGGCAAAGGUUGCUCUGCUUUGAGUAUCUAGCUAAAGGGAGUCUUGAUAAGUAUAUCACUGGACCAUCUUGUGGACUUGAAUGGAGAAAGCGCUAUCUCAUAAUAAAGGGCGUCUGCGAAGGUCUAUAUUAUCUCCAUGUGAAGCAGCGUAUCGUCCACUUAGAUCUUAAACCCGCGAAUAUCUUAUUGGAUGAUAACAUGGCGCCGAAAAUAGCUGAUUUCGGUCUAUCAAGGCGGUUUGAUGAAAAGCAAAGCCGAGAUUUUACUUCAAAACUGAUGGGAACUUUGGGUUACUUGGCACCAGAGUUCUUGAGUGGGGAAAUUACAUUCAAGCUGGAUAUAUAUAGUCUUGGUGUUAUCAUCAUAGAGAUACUGACAGGAAAGAAGGGAUAUCACGAUGUUGAGGAUGAACUUGAUUCCUGGGGUGAUAGGUUGCAGAAUACCCUGGGAGACAUACAAUUGAAACAAGUAAGAAUAUGUGCUGAGAUAGGGAUAGAGUGCACUGAAAAUGACCCAGCAAAGAGACCAGAUAUAGAAUAUAUAAUCAGUAGGCUCAAUGAAAAGGAAAGAGGUGCUAGUGAACUGUAUCAGUGUACACCUAAUAAGGUACCCGGAGAGACAAGCUCCAAGGUACUUGGUAUGUCUUGGAAUAGGCUGGCGAAAUCACAUGGAGACAUACAGUUGGAACGCGCUGAGACAGGGAUAGAGUGCACUGAAAAUAAGGCAACAAAGGGGCUAGUUACACAACAUAUAACCGACAGGCUUGAUGAGGCAGAAAGUACGGGCUGGUCGAUCAAAACUAGUGGGAGUAAUUUAUCAGUAGUGCAGGUAGAAAAGGACUUCACUGAGCUGAAUCUAUGGGAACUUAAAGUUCCAGGAGAGACAAGCAAUGAGGAUAGCAUCUCACUUAUACAAGCCUCAGAACAGAUUAAGACAAAGUCAACCUGCCAUACAGAUUGUCAUAGUAGUGCAUCUCCAACGGAGCAGCGUUGUCAAAUGGAGGUGGGCACACUAUUGAUGCGCCGUUAUGAAACAGGGAAGCCGUUAGCACAAGGGAACUUUGGGAAGACAUAUUUUGCUUGGAACAUUAUAAAUGGAGAAAGAGUUGUAAUAAAGGUAAUUGAUAAGGAUAAGGUCAUGAGGGGUAGGCUAAUGGUGCAGAAAGAAAAGAAGGUUUCAAUAGUGAGAAAGAUAACGCAUCCAAACAUCGUGCAACUUUCCGAGGUAAUGGCUACAAAGAGCAAGAUUUACUUGGUUUUGGAGUAUGCUAGAGGUGGUGAGCUUUUCAACAAAAUAUCCAAGGGAAAGUUCAGUGAGGAUGUCGCGUGGAGAUACUUCCACCAAUUGAUCAGUGCCGUGGGUCACUGCCACAGCCUAGGUGUUUAUCAUGGUGACUUGAAGCCGGAAAACCUGCUUUUAGAUGAGGUUGAUAAUCUAAAAGUAUCUGGGUUUGGUCUAAGUGCCCUAGCUGACCCCAAGAGACAAGAUGGCCGCCUCCAUACAACCUAUGGAACUCCAGCUUAUGUUGCUCCCGAAGUGCUUAGCGGGAGAGACCAUGACGGCGCGAAGGCUGACAUAUGGUUCUGUGGAGUAAUUUUGUUAGCGCUGGUGGCUGGUGACCUUCCUUUCCAGGACACAACUCUUACUGAUAUGUAUACGAAGAUCUCCAGAGGUGAAUAUAGUUGCCCUUGUCCUUUGUCUGCUGAGUUGGAGGAUCUACUCUCUAUGAUUCUUCAUCAAGAUCCAAGUGCUAGAGCUUCCGUCUUAAGGAUAAAGAGAAGCGCAUGGUUCAGAAAACAUGAAGCAAGAGACAAGAUUUACAAAGAUGGAGACAAAACCUCCGACUUAAUGGAAUCCAUUAAUACAUACAGAAACCAAACAUCAGCAAGACUCACAAACAUGAAUGCAUUUGAUAUCAUUUCUCUCUCCUCGGGAUACGACCUAUCCAGUUUGUUCGAAGAGUAUGGCCGAUGCGAGUACAAAUUUACUAGUAUGCAGCCAGCAGAGAUUAUAUUCGCUAAGCUAAGUGAACUGGCAAAGCAAUUGAAGGUUGAAAUUAAGGAGAGAGAAAACGGUGUUGUAAAAUUGGCAGCACCAAAGGAAGGAAGGAGUAUUUCUGUAUUUUCUUCUGAUACUGUAUACAACCUUGCUUCCUAA